rnacentral:lncRNA from 1 species
AGCCCCCGUGCCAGCACAGACCCUGGUUGGGUUUAUUAUUCAGAAAGAGCAAAGAAAAUGUACGGGAGGGACAAAGAGAAAUCAUUGCAGCAAGUAAAAGAUGCAGAGCACACAGAAGCCCCAGUCGUUUGCGCUUUCAAGUCCCUGGGCUGAAGGUCUUCCGAGGCUGUUUCAAUCAUUACGGAAGUGUGGCAGCAAGAGGUGGUAACAUGCUACCCCAAGCCACAGGGCUUACUGUCUGCCCCUCCUCAAAGAUGAACUUGUAGAUUUGGGGGAAACCCAACAGUCAAGCAGUUCCUUUCCUCUCAUCUCUUUUCCUAUUCCAUUAUUUGUUAACUAUCUAACACAGGUCUGUUUCUCUUUAAAGGGCAGGCAGGCAUUACACAAAGGUCAGAAUGCCUUGGAGAGUGGCAAGAACGAACCCUGGUGGCUGCACCUGCAGGUGGCAACGCCGUCCCAGAAGCAUCCCAGCUUCUGCCUCACCAGGCACAGCUCAUCCUCUUGAUGGAUUAGGAACUCUGGGCAAGCUCUUCGGGUUCCAGAGGGCUGCCUGGCACUUCUCUGAUAUGAUCCAACAAGGGCUACAAAUCAGUCUUGCUGACCCGGUGGGCAGAGUUCUCUCAAGUCUGACCCCCCCAUCUCCCACUAAGGCGACCGUCUCCACCCUAGCCAGUCUCCGACCUCCGUCCCGGCGCUCACCAUGUCUGAAGAACCACCAAGGAAGGGAGAAGGAAGGGCAGCAGUCAUCAAAUCUGCUCUGAG